rnacentral:lncRNA from 1 species
CAAAGUGCUGGGAUUACAGGCGUGAGCCAUUGCGCCUGGCCUCUCUGUCUUCUUAUACACAUACUUGGGACAAAAACUGUGUCUUAAUCUCUGAUGCUCAGCCCAAUAACUGAUUCAUAGAAGGUAUUUAAUAAAGUAUAACUACAUAAAUGCAUAAUUAAUUACUCAGGCUUUCCUCAUUUUGCAGAAGACUUUAUUUUAAAUACUGAGCUCUCCUAAGACCUUUCUUUGAGUUUCAUGUUAUGAUGUACCAGUCACCCCAGUCUGCUAUUGUUUUAGCAUUAAAAGUCUUGCCUCUCGGGUACAGUGGCUCAUGCCUGUAAUCCCAGACUUUGGGAGGCUGACGAGGGUGGAUCACUUGAGGCCAGGAGUUUGAGACCAGCCUGGCCAAUUCUGUCUCUAUUAAAAAUACAAAAAUUAGUCAGGCGUUGUGGCGGGCACCUGUAGUCCCAGCUACUUAGGAGGCUGAAGCAUGAGAAUCGCUUGAACCCAGGAGGCAGAGGUUGCAGUGAGCUGAGUUGUGCCACUGCACUCCAGCCUGGGUGAUAGAGUGAGACACACUGUCUCAAAAGAAAAAAUUCUUGCCUCUCCGGAAUGUAGCCCCUCAGUCCUGGGAAAACUGGGAUGGUUAGUCACCUUAUAGCUUCUCAAAGUGAAUCUGAAUGCUUAAAAUGAGAACAAAAUAUUGUGACUUGAAAUUAUACUUUUAAAGUUGUAAGGCUGAUGUCAGUUGGAAUUAGUCAAAUGAGUAUAAUUAAAUCACGAAGUUCAUUAACAUGUUUUUUAAGCUGGGCACAGAGGUAUUUUAUAAUGAUUAUACAUUUCAUUUUAUUUUCCUGUGGAAAUGUGUCCUUGCUUUGUAAAAAAUAGCUUUUCAAGACUUGUUUUGGUUGACUCUUGAUUCACAGGAGGUCGAGAAGGCAAAAUUGAAUUUUAAAAUGCUGUUUCUCCUUGGCAUUACACCCAACCAGAUAAAAAGUAGAACACUGACUUAAGAAGCCAGCUGGGUGUCUGAAUAAUGCCACACAGCACAUACUUGACAGAGUUACCUCCAUUUUGUGUUAAUCAUUUCUAAGGAAAAAAAAAAUAGGCUUAAUUUCAUUGGAGCAAACUGAUAGAAUAAAGUAACAGGUUUUUUUUUUUUUUUGACAGUGGUUAUUCAUAACCUCACUUUCCCUUCUAUAAACCCCAAUUUCAAUACCUUCCUCUGUUUGUCAGCAAAGUGUUUUUCAAUAUUGCAACAGGAUAUUAUGCAAAUAUAAAUCACACUGGAUUGGACUAUUUCCUUAGCAGCAAAAGCAAUGUUCUUGCUGGGAUGAUAAGUGUAAAUGUCUCUAAUUAUCCUUUACUACACAGCAGUCUGAGGAAAAAAUCAGGCUACAAAUAGAAAAAUGAGCUAGACUGUAUAUGUUGAAAAAUAGAUUGUUAAUUUAAUUCAUAAAGAACAAAACAGUUAAUUACUUUAUAGGACAAACUUUCUUGGUCUUUUCUGAUUUCAGAUGUAUAUGUAUGUGAUAUAAUUAUCUGUAUCUUUCACAUAGCUUACAGAUUCCAACAAAAUCAUGAUUCUUGCAUAAUUAAGAAACAAUGCUGAGAUAGAAAAGUCAGCCAGACACGGUGGCUCAUGCCUAUAAUCCCAGUACUUUGGGAGGCCAUGGCGGGUGGAUCACCUGAAAGACUAGCCUGGCCAACAUGGCGAAACCCUUUCUCUACUAAAAAUACAAAAAAUCAGCUGGGCGUGGUGGUGCAUGCCUGUAGUCCCAGCUACUCAGGAGGCUGAGGCAGAAAAAUUGCUUGAACCCGGGAAGCAGAGGUUGCAGUGAACCAAGAUCAUGCCACUGCACUCCAGCCUUGGAGACAAAGUGAGACUCAGUCUCAAAAAAAAAAAAAAUAAUAAAUAAAUAAAAAAUAAGAAAAAGUCGUAAGUCAAUACCAUAGAUGAGGCGCUGAGAUGAACACCAAUGCAGAAUGACUGUAAAUGUCAUCUGUUUAUUCUGCUUCUUUCUAUUUUUAAAUAAAAAGAUGGAAGGUAAGAUGUAAUGCUUAGUUUCAAAAUUUUAAAGAGAUAAUUGAAAUGUACCUAUUAGGUCCUUAUAUCUUCAUGGAUCUGUCAGUUUAAGGAAAUGUUUUGGCAGUCAAGGCAAAAUAAGGGAUGCAGAAAACUAUAUGAUGUGCUCAUGUGUAUUGUCCACUUCCACUGCAGUACGUAUUUUGUUCUUUUUUCUAAGUACGAAUAAGGAGAUUUUGCUGACUUUUCAGAAGUAGCCAAAAACGUUUCCUUGUUCCUAAAAUCAUUAACAACAAUAGCUAACAUAGAUCAAGUGCUUACUAUAUGCCAAGCUAACCAUGUGUAGGAGGGACUUACUAUUAUUAUACCAAUUUUAGAAAUUUAAACAACAAACAAAGAAACCCUCAGACUUCACUUAACUUGAUUGUUCAGGGAUUCACAGCUGGUAAAUGGAAAAACCAGCUUUGAAGCUCCUGGUGCCUGAACAAAGCCCAUGUGCUCUACCAAGUCCUCUCUACUAGGAAGGACUUCAUAUGCAUCUAUAGGAAGCUCUGUGUCCACAUUUUAUGCUGACACAGAUCCUGAGACUGGUAUAAGAUUGGGAUAUUCUUUUCGUUUGUGAGCAGAUUUAUAAUGUGUGUAUUUUUCAAAAAAAGUCUUAACAUUAUCCCCAACUAUCUCAUAUUAAAUUAUGGUGUCUCACACAUGAGAUAAAUUUGUAACAGAUUUCUCACUUAUGCAUAAUUAACCAGCCUUUCACAAAAUAUUUAUAGGUAGUUUAGUAUAGAAAGAAAGACUUUAGGAUCAUUACCAUCAGUAACUUAGAUGGCUGUAGACAACCAUUUGUCAUUGACACCUAAUACAUCCUAUCCUAUAGAUCAUGAAAUGUCCUACUUAUUUUCUAUCUAAUCUCACUUGGUAACUGCACUGGUUCUUCCCACAACUUACUCUCUUACAUGCACUGUUGCUUCUUAUAGAUUUAUUUAUAGGCACAUAACAUCCUUUCAGUCAUUUCAGUUAAGUAGUCUCUAUAAAAAAUAAGUUGUGCUGAAUUGCUUCAAUAAACCUUAGCUACCUUGUGGUAGAGAGACCUUUUGGCUUCAUAAGUUGGUCAAAUUAAUGACUUUAAAAAAUCAUAUGAGUAUGUGCUACAUUCUAAGAUUCUCUAUAGUCUAAAUUCUUUCUAGGAUGAUCGGAAGAAAUCCAAGGUAGAAUUGUACAUCUGCAGGUAAGAUUUGAGGUUUAGUCUGUAAAUUAUUUAAUUUGUACCUCAGUGUUUUUGUUUUUUAACUCUUACUCUAAACAGUGUCUGUUUAUUUGUUUUGGUUUUUUUCCCUUUUUAAAAAAAUUUCUGGUUAAACCUGGAGUAAAAUAAACAUCCAAACAAACAUCAGAGGUAGUGUGGGAGAGAAAAAAGUAUAAUAAAUGCAUUUAGUCUAAUAGAAAGAAGAAAGUCAGACACAAAAUAAGAAACGACUGAGCAAGGUUACAUUGUAUAGUUCCCUUUCUCCAAUAUGUAGCCACUAGCCAGAUGUGGCUACUGAGCAUUUGAAUUAUGGGUAAUUUAUUUAUUUAUUUUUAAAUUUUAUUUUUUGAGUUGAAGUCUUUCUCUGUCGCCCAUGCUGGAGUGCAGUGGUGUGAACUUACUUCACUGAAACACCUGCCUCCCGGGUUCAAGUGAUUCUCCUGCCUCAGCCUCCUGAGUAGCUGGGACUACAGGCGUGCGCCACUUUGCCUGGCUUAUUUUUUGUAUGUUUAGUAGAGACUGGGUUUCACCAUGUUGGCCAGGCUGGUCUUGAACUCCCAACCUCAGGUGAUCUGCCUGCCUCGACCUCCCAAAAAGCUCGGAUUACUGGUGUGAGCCACCACGCCUGGCCGAAUUAUGGGUAAUUUAAAUUACUAUGACAUUGGGUUUUGAAGAUUUAUUAUAGAAGAAAAAAUGUUAAUUAUCUCAUUAACAAAUAACAGUAAUUAUUUACAUUGAUUUCACAUCGAAAAUAUUUUGGAUAAUUUUGUUGAACAUUUUUGAAGACUUCUUAAAUAUAAAACAUUAUAGCACAUAGAUGGCCAACAUAAUAUUUCUGUUGAAUGAUGCUGAUGUAAAGCAAGAGAAAAGAGAUUUUUCAACCUUCAUGAUCAAAGAAAGCUUAACAGAGGAAAUGCUGGAGAAGGACACUGUAUAAGAUGCCUGUGAUACAGGAAGGAAAACCUCACUUCCGAGGACCCUUCACCGAAUUGGAAAAACAUACCCAAUCCUGUCAUCCUGAGAUGAACAGUUUCAUCCUGCUCAUCCUUAGAUGAACAGAUUCCAGAUAAUUGCGCUACUUCAGCUUAAAUCUGGAAUAAUUGGAUUCUGAAUUGGAUUGGACACAUGGAACAGAUAUGAACCAAAGCCAACCCAGCCUCGUUGAGCCAGAGCCCACCUGCAGAAUGUGAGCAGAAGAGAAAUGUUUGAGAGAUGCUCAUUAUGCAGCAUUAUUUCAACAAAACCUGACUAAUACACAUACACAAUAUGAUUUAUCUUCACAACAAGUUGAUGAAGAAGGUACUGCUAGCCUCAUUUCAAACAAGGAAAAUGAGGUACAGAGAGAUUAAAAUACUCAAAGUCACACAGCUAAUAAAUGGUGGGAACCUGAUUAGAACUCAAGAGAUUCUGAGUCCAAAUCUAGAUAAUAUUGACCCUGAAAUGAAACUGUAACUGCCCAGUGGGUUCACCUUGCUGGCUUCCUAGACAGAGCUGAUUUCUCAAGACAGGGGCAUUGCAAUAGAGAAAACAGUAAUUCACGCAGAGCUGGCUGUGUGGGAGACCAGAGUUUUAUUUAUUACUCAAAACAGUCUCCCUGAGCAUUCUGGGAUCAGAGUUUUUAAGAACAACUUGGUAGGUGGGGAAGCCAGUGAGCCAGGAGUGCUGACUGGUUAAGUAGGAGAUGAAAUAAUGGUAAGUUGAAGCUGUCCUCUUGUGCUGAGUCAGUUCCUUAGUGGGGGCCACAAGAUCAUGAGCCAGUUUAUAGAUCUGGGUGGUGCCAGCUGAUGCAUCAAGUGCAGGGUCUGCACUGAGCUUAGGAGCAGUUUAGGGAGGAUAAGAAUCUUGUAGUCUCCAGCUGCGUAACUCCUAAACCAUAAUUUCUAAUCUUGUGCCUAAUUUAUUAGUCCUACAAAAGCAGUCUAAUCCCCAGGCAAGAAGAAGGUUUGUUUUGGGAAAGGGCUGUUAUCAUCUUUGUUUUAAACUGUGAACUAAGUUCCUCUCAAAGUUAGUUCAGCCUAUGCCCAGGAAUGAACAGGGACAAUUUGGAGUUUAGAAGCAAGAUGGAGCUGGUUAGGUCAGCUCAGUUAUAAUUAUGUAAUGGCAGUUUCAAAACUUACUUUUAUUUUACACAUAAUGAACAUAAUUUUUAUAUUAUACUGUAGAAUAUUUACUUGGGAUUUGCAUGUUUGCUUUGUUCUGAAAGUUAUGGAUUCUACUCAACCAAGGUAUAAGUUUCUUGAAAGUUGGGUCCUAGCCUGAUGCCACUUUGCAUUCACUGCAGUAUGGAGCUUAGCACUUAUUUUGUGUGCUGUUGACUCGCAGAAAAGGUUUGAAGAUUGACAGAUUGAUGCGAUGACAUUUUAUCAUAUAUUCACUAUUCAUAUAACAUAACAGACAUCGUGAUCGCCAAACAAAUUAGUCUUUGUGUUUAUGCUUAAGGGCUUAGUCUGAAUAAGAAUAGCUCUCCUCACCCUGGGCUCUUCCUCUCUCCUGUUUCCAGAUCUGAGUAAAGAGAUCUUAGUUGAUGGCUUUGGUUCAGGACUCUUGGUUCAUUCAUGGCUUGUACUACCUGCUGUCCUCUGGAGGAUCUGAGGGGCACUGUGUUUUGUGCUUUUGUGUAAGGAACAGCAAAAAGCAUGCAAAGGCACAGCAACAGAGCUAUAUUUUAAAGAAAUACAGAUCCAGAAUCCACUUAUUUUAAAAUUCUAAACAAAUGAGCAGUAAAUAAUGUGAUGAAAAUGGGGCUUUCCUGCAACUAACACCAUGGUUCCCUGUAGCCUUUGUCUCUAAGAUAUCAAACCUUUGAAGCAAAGAAUUAUUUCAGAUGUUAGCACACUUUUUUUCCUCUUAAAAUUAUGGAAUUCCCCAUUCAAAAAUUUGCCAAAAUUGAAGAAACAGGUUAACUAUCUAUAGUUCAAAGAAAAAUUAUAUUCUGGUAAUUUUUUUCUUUAUUAUUUUUAAAAUUAUGGCAAACUGUGUAGUGAUUAUACCUUCACUGGUAUUGUUUAUUUCUCAAGCUACUACUCAGUGUCCUGCAUUUCAGACUGAAGGAUCUUUGUAGCAUUUUUUAUAGGGCAGGUCCAUCAGCUACAAACACCCUGAGCUUUAUUUAUCUAGGAAAGACUAAAUUCCUCCUUCCUCUUGGAAGGACAGUUUUACUGGAUAAAGAAUUCUUGAUUGAAGUUUCUGUUGGUUUUUUUGUUUGUUUUGUUGUCCUUUCAGCACUUUUAGUAUUCCAUGUCUGUCCUUCAUGAUGAGAAAUCAAACUGCUAAUCUUAGUGAGCAGGUAAUGUUUGCAUUGACACACUUCAGACAGCCUGUCUUGUUAAAAAUGUAUUAAGGUGAAAAUGAAGGAGACAGAUAAAAGGAGUUACUGAUAGAGAAACCAGGGUUUCAUUGGAUCAUAGAAUCUCUAGGCUAAAAGGAAUGUGAAAGGUUAUUUGUCCAACUGUAAACACAUCAGACCAAUCUGCUUCAACUGUUAUGUAACAGAGUUGUGAGUUGUUUUUCAGUUGCCAUGGACCCCUAGGUUGAAGACCACAGAAGCUAAGCAUGCCCCAGUGAACCACGUAUGCAACUCUGAGUAGAGCUUAAGUACUUGAACCAAGAAGCGGGGGCUGAAUUAAGAAGCAGAGAACACAUGGCAGGAUCCAGAAUUCAAUCAGAUUGAGCCCUGGUGUCACCCCAUGGCAGGAUACAGUCAGAUCAUGACUCCUAGCAUCACCUCAUUGCAAGAUUCAAUCAGAUCACAUCUCAUUACCCUAUGCUUAUAAAACACAACCUAGUCCCAGCUCUGGGAGACAGAUUUGAGCAUUUCCUCCCAUUUCCUUGUGAGUCGACUCACAGUAAGCUUUUCUCACUGCAAAAACCCAGUGCUUCAGUGUUUGGCUUUCCAUUGUGCAGUCAAAUGGAUCCAGUUUGAUUCAGUGACACAACCACUGUGACUAAAGGUAUAUGAACUUUCAAAAUAUACUCAAACGUUCUAGUGAUAUAUUGAAUAAUUGUUAGGAUUCAGGAUGUAAAUCUGAAUUAGUUGUAUAUAAGGAAGAUUGUACAUUAUCAGGAUUUGAUUACUUCUGCUUUGUAGGCUGCCAAAUUUGUUUCAGGGCAACCAGUGAGAAAGUCUACAAAACCAGAAAAUACCCAUGGCAUUCCUAUCUUAACCAGAGCCAUAGCAGACAUCAGUAAUCAACCACGGCAUUUUCCCACAGAGCUCAUAUUUAGCUUUAUAAUCCUUCUCAAAACAGAUUUUCCACCUUCCUACCACAUCCCUAAGAGUUUAUCUAUAAAAUGGAGAGUGACAAUCUGUGGGCAUUUGAGAUCUCCCUACCACCCUCUCAGCCUCAUAUACACUUUUUCCCACUAGCAAUGCAAGAGAUCAGGUUGUGAUGUUGGCUCUUAGAUCCACCUGAUUCGUCUCAAGCCUCCUUCCUUCCUUGUCGUGUAUCUGCACUUACCAAAGAGCAAGGACUAAUUCAGAAUAGCACAGAAAUCAAUAGAGAAGUUGCCUAUAAUCAUGUUUCUCAUUAUUUUCACAUUUUAUUAACCAAUUUCUGUUUACCCUGAAAAAUAUGAGGGAAAUAUAUGAAACAGGGAGGCAAUGUUCAGAUAAUUGAUCACAAGAUAUGAUUUCUACAUCAGAUGCUCUUUCCUUUCCUGUUUAUUUCCUUUUUAUUUUGGUUGUGGGGUUGAAUGUAAUAGCUUUGUUUCAAGAGAGAGUUUUGGCAGUUUCUGUAGCUUCUGACACUGCUCAUGUCUCCAGGCAUCUAUUUGCACUUUAGGAGGUGUCGUGGGAGACUGAGAGGUCUAUUUUUUCCAUAUUUGGGCAACUAGAUGGAGAGAUAGCCCUAAGGAGAGAAACAGGUAAGCAGCAGAGAUAGAGGAGAAGCUGCUAAAUUUUAUCUCCACCUAGCCAGCAUCAAAGAGCUUAACCCUUUGACAACUUGUAGAGCACAAAGUAUUUAACUGCAUGGAGGAUUCAGUACUCUCAGUAUUUAUAAUUUCCAAGCAGAAAUGUGGGGCAAGGUAGAGGCUAUGAUGAAGGCAGGAUAGAUAAAGAGUAGUUACACAGAAAAUAUUUUUCUUAAAUUUGUACUCCACUUUUUUUUUCAAUGGGAUGCAAAAAGUACAUGUGACUAAACACAGUAUUGAAUUUGUUUCUCUAAGAUCCUAAACUUUUCCAGAAUAAAUUUAUAUAGAGCAAAUUUUUUUAUCAUAGCUAUAGAAGGCAUCUUAGAAUUCAUCUAAAGCAGUCCAUUCAAUUUUUCAGAUAGGAGCCCAAGGCUUCCAAUUAAAUGAUUUGCCUCAAAUCACAGGGUUGUAGGCUGGCCUGAAACUGACUCCCAGAUAGACUUUUCCAACUGUGACUUUUCAUCUGAACAAGAGAAAAUAAGACAUAAUAUUUAUGAUUAUUUACUCAAAUCUCCCAAGGACAGUAUAUAGAUAUUACCACUGUAAAGAAUAGGGGAGAAGUUAAUUCAUAAUAUUCAGUGAUGCCUCAGGACCCUGGUUGAGAAAGCCUGUACUAGCACGUUAUCACUAUCUGGCUUCCACAAACUAUUUGGGGACUGAUUUAUUACAUGAAGGCCACAGCGAGUUUAUAAGAGUUCUACAAUUAAAGUGUAAAGCUUACUGAUUUGGGCUGUUAGCAGAUUUAGGGCUAUGGAAACACAGCCUGUUUCAUCUGUGACCUUGAGUUAUGAUUAAUUUUAGAUAAGCAGUGGAUAAUACAUUUAAGGGAAAUCACCUUUGAGCCACCUUGAAAAAGAAGCAUAAAUUUCACUUGUGUUCUAAUUCGUUGUAAUAAUGGCUUUGCCAUAAAAUGUCUCCUAAAUAGCUUGAGACUGAAAAUGCUGGCUAAUAAAAGCAUAUUGUGUGCUUAUUAGAGAAGAGCAAAAAUGCCACAAAAUUGAACAGUUAACCUGCAAAUAAUUGUCAAGAACUUGCUUCCUAAAGGAAUUUGCUCUUUCCCUGGGUGGUCAUCCAAAACCAAAGGUGUAUGGGAGCAGAAAUCCCUUCCUCUUAGACCGUAGUGGUGAUGCUUAAGGAUCAGUCAGAGAUAAACAUAAUCAGAAAAACACCCAGGAGCUGACUGACUGCAGGAGGCAGAAUUCACUUGUGGUCGGGACCAGGCAGCAACUUAGAUUCAUCACUUUACGGACAAAUGAUGACUUAUUUGUUAUUUUUCUCGUAGUCUGUCCAUGGAUAAUUAAAUAUUUGUAGGUGGAAGAAAUAGUAGCACUCACUGAAAGGAAUCCACCAUCCUUUAUGUAUGAUGCCACUAUUACGGGAAGAGAUGACCUUGAUUUUUGAUGCCCUCACCAAUACAAGCUUUUAAUUUAGAACUACUUGUUUUAACCCAAAUGGCAUGGCAUGUUAGAAGGGCUCGGGUCCCCCAUGAAGAUAUGCUAUUGUGGAGUUUGAUGGAACCUGAGUACAUUUCAGGUCUAAGAAUGCUGAGGCACUGGGCAUUUCACUUGUCUGAAAUGAGAAACUGAAACCAGGAAUGAGGAUCAAGGUCACAAAAUUAGAUCAUAAGUCUGUGUAGUACAGUGGCUGUCACUCCUUUGCCAACCUCUGUAAUAAAGGCUGAGAAAACCAACACAUGGUGCCUUGCCCGCCCACUCUGCAGUGAGAGGUGAGCAUGUCACACUGUUUUGAUUAAUGAAACAAAAAAAGAAAAUGCUUAGAAUUGGUUUUUGCUUUCCUAAUUAGAAAAUGUCAAAGGUGGCUGAAUAUGGCCCUUUCUUUUCUCACUGCCUUGAAUGUGGAGGCAAUGUUUUUGAAGAGGAAACAGACAUCUAUUAUUCAUGAAGGGAAG